rnacentral:rRNA from 1 species
AUUGAACGCUGGCGGCAAGCCUAACACAUGCAAGUCGAACGAGAGGCGGACGGGUGAGUAAUGUCUGGGAAACUGCCUGAUAGAGGGGGAUAACUACUGGAAACGGUAGCUAAUACCGCAUACCAUCAGAUGUGCCCAUAUGGGAUUAGCUAGUUGGUGGGGUAACGGCUCACCAAGGCGACGAUCCCUAGCUGGUCUGCGAGGAGGACCAGCCACACUGGAACGGAGACACGGUCCAGACUCCUACGGGAGGCAGCAGUGGGGAAUAUUGCACAAUGGGCGCAAGCCUGAUGCAGCCAUGCCGCGUGUAUGAAGAAGGCCUUCGGGUUGUAAAGUACUUUCAGCGGGGAGGCGUUACCCGCAGAAGAAGCACCGGCUAACUCCGUGCCAGCAGCCGCGGUAAUUC